rnacentral:pre_miRNA from 1 species
ACACAGAUUACCUGGAGAUCUUGUUAAAAUGCAGAUUCUGAUCAGUUAAUCUGGGGAGAGGUCUGAGAUUCUGCAGUUCUCACAAGUUCCUGGGUAUUGUUGAU